rfam:Pseudomonas fulva 12-X, complete genome.
CGUGCUUAGGGACAAGCGCAGGUCGUUAGGGACAACGAUCAGGACAUCGCGGGACGCGAUUCAUCAGGAUGAUGAGUUGGGAGUUUCAGGGAAUAGGGACAAAAGAGUGGGCGGGUAAAACCGCCCCUUUUUUU